GACGAACGCUGGCGGCGUGCUUAACACAUGCAAGUCGAACGGAAAGGCCCUGCUUUUGUGGGGUGCUCGAGUGGCGAACGGGUGAGUAACACGUGAGUAACCUGCCCUUGACUUUGGGAUAACUUCAGGAAACUGGGGCUAAUACCGGAUAGGAGCUCCUGCUGCAUGGUGGGGGUUGGAAAGUUUCGGCGGUUGGGGAUGGUCUCGCGGCUUAUCAGCUUGUUGGUGGGGUAGUGGCUUACCAAGGCUUUGACGGGUAGCAGGCCUGAGAGGGUGACCGGCCACAUUGGGACUGAGAUACGGCCCAGACUCCUACGGGAGGCAGCAGUGGGGAAUAUUGCACAAUGGGCGGACGCCUGAUGCAGCAACGCCGCGUGCGGGAUGACGGCCUUCGGGUUGUAAACCGCUUUCGCCUGUGACGAAGCGUGAGUGACGGUAAUGGGUAAAGAAGCACCGGCUAACUACGUG
rnacentral:rRNA from 1 species